CAGUCGCCGCGGUAAUACGGAGGGUGCAAGCGUUAAUCGGAAUUACUGGGCGUAAAGCGCACGCAGGCGGUCUGUCAAGUCAGAUGUGAAAUCCCCGGGCUUAACCUGGGAACUGCAUUUGAAACUGGCAGGCUAGAGUCUUGUAGAGGGGGGUAGAAUUCCAGGUGUAGCGGUGAAAUGCGUAGAGACCUGGAGGAAUACCGGUGGCGAAGGCGGCCCCCUGGACAAAGACUGACGCUCAGGUGCGAAAGCGUGGGGAGCAAACAGGAUUAGAUACCCCGGUAGUCCCUGUCUCUUAUAC
rnacentral:rRNA from 1 species